GAUGAAGAACGCAGUGAAAUGCGAUACGUAAUGUGAAUUGCAGAAUUCAGUGAAUCAUCGAGUCUUUGAACGCACAUUGCGCCCCCUGGUAUUCCGGGGGGCAUGCCUGUCCGAGCGUCAUUGCUGCCCUCAAGCACGGCUUGUGUGUUGGGCCUCCGUCCUCCUCCCGGGGGACGGGCCCGAAAGGCAGCGGCGGCACCGCGUCCGGUCCUCGAGCGUAUGGGGCUUCGUCACCCGCUCUUGUAGGCCCGGCCGGCGCUUGCCGACACAUCAAUCUUUUUUCCAGGUUGACCUCGGAUCAGGUAGGACUACCCGCUGAACUUAAGCAUAUCAAUAAGCGGAGGA
rnacentral:misc_RNA from 1 species